rnacentral:lncRNA from 1 species
AUGAUAUUUUGCCACUAUAUAGCUCAGACGCUGUACGGACCCUGCCAACAGGAUAUCCAGUUUAACAAAAGUUGUAAGACAGUUGGAUUCUUUACGAACUGGAUUAGAGAAAUGCAAAAUACUAAUACCAAGCACUUUAACCAUAGGCUGCAUAUAAAUCCACAAUAA